CCUACGGGAGGCAGCAGUGAGGAAUAUUGGUCAAUGGGCGGGAGCCUGAACCAGCCAAGCCGCGUGAUGGAAGAAGGUACAGCGUAUCGUAAACCUCUUUUGUCAGGGAACAAAGGCGGGGACUAUUCCCCGGAUGAGGGUACCUGAAGAAAAAGCAUCGGCUAACUCCGCGCCAGCAGCCGCGGUAAUACGGAGGAUGCGAGCGUUAUCCGGAUUUAUUGGGUUUAAGGGGUGCGCAGGCGGCCUGUUAAGUCAGCGGGAAAAGCCCGGGGCUCAACCCCGGCGAGCCGUUGAAACUGGCGGGCUGGAGUUGGAGAGAAGUACGCGGAAUGCGCGGUGUAGCGGUGAAAUGCUUAGAUAUCGCGCAGAACCCCGAUUGCGAAGGCAGCGUACCGGCUCCACACUGACACUGAGGCACGAAAGCGUGGGUAUCGAACAGGAUUAGAUACCCCGGUAGUC
rnacentral:rRNA from 1 species